AUGAUUUACUUUAGUUUUGAAAUUGUCUCAAUUUAUUUCCACCUGUCUAUCCAUGCACGCAGUAUUCCAACUGCCCUUUAUUAUCUUCUUUUAACCUUUCUCAACAACCUAGGUACUUCUCUACUAUUAUUCAUCUUACACCUAUCAUUGGCUGUUGCCAAAAGGAGAAUCUCCAUCAAUUUGCCAACUGAAUACCUAUCCAUAAGAAUGCCAGAUGGAUAUGCUUUAGCACACAUGGAACUGCUCAGACAAAAUAUCUUCUCCAAAAGAAAAGCCUUGGAGCUGGUUUGCAACAAUGGAAUUGGAGUACAAUUGCAACUGGAAAACAUAGUCUGUUCCAUAGGCUGUUCAUGAAAGUGAAAUUGGUUGGUGCGAAAAGACUUAAAGGCAGAUGUGGAAUAUGAAGGCCAUCAUCACAAAGUCACUUGAAAGGUGAUGGAAAAAACAGAUAUUCCUGAGGAUCAACUGUCUCAUGCUAUAUACAUAUCAAUAGCUAAUUAUCUGAAUCGUUAUCCUACAGUGAUGAUUUGUUUCCAUUGACAGUGAAGAGAGACUCAGAUGAUGAGACCUGAUAUUACAGAAUCAGAGUGGUUUGUGUUGGAAGGUUUCAACCUCCCUGCCAUAUGCAGGGACACCUUCCACUCAGCCACGUUGCCCAAAGUCCCAUCCAAACUGGCCUUGAACAUUUCCAGGGACAGAAUAUCAACUGUUUCUCUGGGCAACCUGCUUGAGUGCCUCAUCACCCUCAUCGUGAAGAAUUUCUUUCUUAUAUCUAAUCUAAACCUUUUUUAGAUUAAAAUUGUUGUGCCUUGUCUUAUCACUACACUCCCUGAUAAAGAGUCCCUCUUCAGUGUUCUCGUAUGCCCUGCUUAAAUACUCGAAGGUCUCUAUAAGGUGUUCUCAGAGUCUUCUCUUAUCCAGGCUAAAUAACCCCAACUCUCUCAGCCUGUCUUUAUCAGAAAGGUGCUCCAACCCUCUGACCAUCUUUUCAGCCCUCCUUUGGAUAUGCUAUAAAAAGUCUAUGUUUUUCUUAUACAUUGAUCACCAGAGCUGAACACAGUAGUCCAGGUGGGGUCUGUUACACUUUUACAUGAUAUAUGUCUAACAACGUGCUACAUAAGACUCACAACACAUCACCCCAUUGUAACAAGACCAAUACCAAAUAUAAAAUUGUUUAUAAAUUUAUGGUUGCAACACUUUCUAUUUAGGUGCCUCCAGAGACAAAAAGGCUUUCUGCUAUCAUCUACUGAUGGAGGUUUUCUUUAGCUCAAACAAUGGAAUGAACUUGUUAGGAAGGUCCAUUGUGAAAAACUUAUUUAAAAGUAAAUUUCUUUUUUUUUUUUUUUUUUUUUCC
rnacentral:lncRNA from 1 species